UGGCUUUAUCAGAACCACUGCCGUC
rnacentral:piRNA from 1 species